rnacentral:lncRNA from 1 species
AUAAUAGUUGAACUCUUUUAUAGAAUCAUAAGAAAGAAACUAAAUCACAUAAAUCAUCCUAGACACAAGUCAAUAUUAUAGGGUCACGGCCCUUUCAUCAAUUUGAAGAAAAAAAACUCAAUCUAUUACAAAGUCUUUUAUAAAAGAAAACUAAAACAUAAGUCAUGUCCUCAAACAUAUGAGGACAUACCAAUCUUGAGAGAAUGUUAUUCUCAAGCUUCAAAUUCUAAGAUAAUCAUUGCAUGCCACCUACACUUGUAGACAUAGAAAACAAAUGGAAUUAGCACAUUGAGUGCACUAAGUAUAGCAAAAAUGCAAGAAAAUCAUGCAAAAAUGACAUUUUCUUUAAGAUAUGCUUUCAUGCUAUUUAUACAGAAACAUUCAACAUAAGAGUUUAAAAGACAUAAUAGAAGUCACAACCACAUAUAAGACAUAUUCCAUAUUAAAUAAGUAACUUUUUCAUCACUUUAGACCCUCUACCUAAAGUUACUCUAGGACUCACUUGAUAAGACAUGAAGAGACCGCCCAUAUGCCGUCUUAAAGCACACCUAAGUUAUUCUCAAAGCUACCCUAGAUAAGAACCUUUCAAUUAAACAUAUUUUACUAAGUUAAUAUUAUUCAUUAAAGCCAUUUAAGAGACAAGUAAGCAAUUAGGUUACUUUCACAUAAUGGUCUUGGAAGACCUACGGAACUCUACCUAGCACUUUCAAAGCCAACUCGUUUCAUGUGUAGAUAGCGUCCCAUUCCACUACUACACAUUGUAGAACUUCUCCAAUACUUGGAUGCACAUCCUAUAUGAUGAGAAUAGGCACUAAUCGAAGUAGACCACACUAGCUAGUUAUAGAAUUCAAUGUCAUAAAGACCCAUUACCGUGGAAGGUGUUCUACUUGCCAAAGGUAGAACUAGUAAUCAUCCCAUGUUAGCAUAUGGUUAAAGGAAAUCAAGGGCUUCUUUGUACUCUAGUCUCAUCCUCAAGCAGAGCUACUACCACAAGCAUAUCCACUCGGUCCUUUGCCUUUGUUCUCAUAGAGUAAGUUCAUUCAUGUACUAGUAUUUGAGAUGGUACCAUCUCUAAGUCCUACCAACUCAUAAGACUUCUACCCAAUAAAGGGUCCACUAGGGGUGCCAAUCAAGGUUCAUUAGGAUAUCUCAUUCUCAACCUUCUUUUCAUAUUCAAGGUUCCAUGUUAGUCUUUCAUAGAAGUGUAGCUACUUUAGGUCUACCGAUCCUAGACUAUCACUCCUUUCAUUCAUUUAAGACAAGGGUGCCUAAGCCUACCAAGUCAGGAUACAAUAUCCAUCAUAUCAUUUAUUCAGUAUCAUUCAAGUCUCAAGUAGGGAUAACUAAUCUACUAAUACAAGAUAGUACAUCAUUCUCAUAGGACUCUUCUUAGUCCUUCAUUAUCAUAUAUCAAAAACUACAGAAGAGGUACGUUCAAUCAUAUCAUUUUAGCACUCAUACAAGAUCAUAUAGACAUCACAUGAGCAACGUCACUUUAUACCUUCACAUAUACCAUAUCAUGAUCAUACCAUAAUUCACAUAAUAAUGCCGACAAGGCCAUGUUCAUAUCAACUAUAACAAUUAAACACCGCCACUAUAAGUGGACCAUACCAAUCAAUGAAAAUUCAGUAUCAAUUCUAUGUUAAACAAAGGAAUUAGGUCAACUCACCACCUUCCAAUAGCCACUGUCACCAUUCCUUAGCUUUUUCAACAAAUUUGCAUCUUACCAAUGAUAAUAUACAUAAGACUAAGCAAACAAUUCAUCCAUAUUGAUGAUCCAACAAAUCUCAAUUUAGAUAUAAAUACUACAAGGAAAUCUAAGAAAAAAUUCAUAAUGAUCAACACAUAAUUCAAUAGCUCAUAACAAUCUACACAUGAAUUAAACAUAAUUGGAUCAUAAUCAAUGUACCCACUUUAGAGACAAAAUUAGAAAUUCAAGGAAUACAUGAAAGAAGAAUCAAGGAUGUAAUCACCAUACCUUAUUAGUAGUAAUCCCAUGAAAUUUAGGUUGAAAACUUGAAGAAUUUGGCCUUUUACCUUGGAGCUUGAAGGUUCAUUAAUUGAGGAUUUAACUAGAGAUAGAAUUUAGAAAGAAGGGAGAGCAUGUAAAACUUGUAGAUUCUAAUUGAGGGUUGGGUUUUUUAUUCGGGUAAUGGGUGUAUAAUGACCUAAAAUCCAUGUAUAAUAACUCCCAAAAUACUCAAAACACCCCUACAUUAAUUGGACCUUUUUAAACAAGUCAACUUAACUUAAGUUUUCAGAACUAUCAUCGGGGAAUAAGCCCGCGUCGCGGAGUUGUUCCCACAAAAUUUUUGGAAAUAAAUUUUGAGAGAGUAGAUUCUGCGACGUGUCUGUGACGCAGACUAGUUCUUCUAUGGGUAUUAGUUUGUUGCCCUGGGCAGCUUAUUGGUCCAAGGUUGGAUUGUCCUCAAGGACCCUUAUGGAGGUCCUUGGGGAGUCAUAACCGAUGUUUUGACCCUAAACACGUCCCUCUAGAAGUUAAGAUCAUCUUCACUGAUUUAGACUCCAAACAACACAUAAAAGCUCAUACAUCAUACAAGGACACACUAGCACACACACAAGACUAGUUUCUGAACGUCUUGAUUGUCCCUUGACGUUCAACUUCAAAACUCUUUAGAAUUAACUUCUAAAGAUAUUAUUCACUAUUUUAACAAGUUAUUAACUCAUUAAACCCAUGAGAGGCUCUAGAUUAACCUAGUUCAUUUUGAGAGUUGUUACCAAGGGUGGGGGAUUUACUAUGAUGAAUCCUCCGGAAUUUCAUGGGUCUAAAGUUGAGGAAGAUCCUCAAGAGUUCAUUGAUGAUGUUUACAAGAUAUAAUGGGAAUUAUAUGUCGCGCCCAGAGGUUACCCCCUUGACGUAAACACUGGACCUAACCUUGAGAUAGCAUAUCACAAGCAUAUUAAGACAAUUGAACAAAAGAUACUAAGCUUAAAAACAUGAGAUGACUAAAAGAGGGGAAUACGCAAUGCUGAUCUGAAUAUAUAAAAGAAAUUGAACAUUCCCUCAAAGCUAAAACUGAAUCUAAUAUUAUGUCUGAAAAAGUCUUUAACUGACUAAAGUUGUUGGGACAUGUCCCCAGCUAACCCUAGCAAAACUGGAACUAUAUGAAAGAUUUAAUUUGAAAACAUUUAUAUUGUCCUCAAAGUAUGAGGACUCACGCACUGAUGUUGUUGAGUAUGGAUCGGAAACCGAUCUACGCAUGAUUUCAGUACUGAGGGCCUAAACCUACAGCAUAAAAUAUAUGUCAAUACUUGGAAGGCAAUGAGCAUGCAGGGUAGGAUAAAGCUGAACAAAACAUACAACUGAACAAAGCAUAUUGAGCAAUGAUAUAAUCAGAACAUUAUGGAAAUAUUGAAAUACAUCCAAAUGAACUAAAAUGAAUGCAAUGACCAAAUACAUAACAUGCUGAAACUGAAUACUGAAAUAUAAUUGAAAACCUGGUCAUAUGCACUAUAGUCUGACUGCGGGAGCUACUAUUAACCGACAUAAAACCGCGUGAGAUCUCCGAUUUAUACGCCCAAUCGAGAGGACCAAAUAUACCUUUUCAGAGGUAUAAAGGCAUGACUAGUAUCACUAAAUCUGAUGGCCAAAAAAGGAUAUAAUCCGAGCUUAAAUUUGAUCAAAAAUAGUUCAUGCAACAUUAUGAAUCAUAAGACAACAUUAAAGACAGAGAGGUCUUCGAUAUGAGAAGUUACCUCUAUUACGAGCCUCAAACGCAGCCCAAUGUUCGACAAGAAGUGGGUCUCACAUCCGAGGCUCUAUUUUUGCCCAAAGCCACAAGGUAGCUUGAAAUGAGCCCGAAAGACUUGGGAUGCGUACCAAAGAUCCUUCUUGACCAAACUUGAUGUUGUGGAGCUAAUAGAACUGUAUUUUGAGGUUGUCUACCUGAUUUUUUUACUGAAGUCAAGUUUCAAAAGCUCCAAAACACUCAUACUCGCUUAAAAAAAUGAACGACCAGGUGAUCGAACUGUCGAUCUCAGCAUAUUAUAAAUGACUUGAGAUUGCUAUAGGAAAGCUCUUAACGCUGAAAAUAACGCACUGCAGGAAAAUGACCUAAAGAGUCAUUACAAAUUAUAAGUGGGGAUAAUUAAACGACAUCCCCUAAAGGCAUAUCCAAAAAUCGAGAAGAAGAAUUAAAAAUCUAAUAGAAGAUCUGAAGGUGAUGUUGAGAAAACAAGAAACAAAUAUAAAGAAAAGGAAAGGGGGUCAUGUAAGAUUGUUUUCCCACUUUAUGAAGGCACAAGUGGUGCAGUGGAAUUGAA